ACAUGCCUACAACAUAGCGUUAAUGCACCGGAUCCCAUUAGAAAUCCGUAGUUAAGUGCUCUCAGGAUAGAGUAGUACUGGGAUGGGUGACCGCCCAGGAAGUCUUAGUGUUUUACAUGCC
rfam:Picea glauca, whole genome shotgun sequence.